AGCUUUUCGAAUCCUUGCAGAGAUUUAGUCAAACACCAAUCCAUUAGGGCUGAUCAGACUUCCAAUAUAAGUGAAGUU
rfam:Schistosoma mansoni, Puerto Rico, WGS project CABG01000000 data, contig: 0076